AACACCUGCAGGACAGCAGAGCCCUGACCUCCACCUCCACACAGGGCCUUAUCCUACAGAGGAAAAAGCAAGAGUCAGGACAGCCUGGACACCCCUUCAAUCCAUGCUGCUGUGUGGUCUCUUGCAAAUGACUUGACCUCUCUGGGCUUCAGGUUUCACAUCUAAAGGGGACUCAUGUGUCGUGCUUAGUGCAGGCCUGGUAUGCAUGUCUGCCCAAUAGAUGCUGACCUAAUAGCCAGGUUAUUAUUAUCAUUAUUGUAUCGGCCCAGGAAAUGGUCGUGCAAAUUCCUUGCCAACCCCGGUUUCUGUAGCUGAGAAGUAGGAGUCUUGCUGCCAGAGGGCAGUGCCAGAGACUGGCUCCUGCCCCGAGUCCUCUUGGCUUCUGUCCAGUCCAAGCACUGACAGCCCAGAAAGUUCUGCAGAACCAGUUCCCUGGCUGGCGUGAGUCUCUCAGAACUUGGAACUAGCAGAUUUGGCUGCCUGGACAGUGAGCCCCAGGGACCCCCAUCUCUGCCUCCCCAGCCUGAAGACCUAAGCUUGAUCCCCACAACCCCACAUGAAGCUGGAUUUCCACUCCCCAAGAAUCGCUGAUGGUAGAGAGAGUUGAGGUGGAGGAGGCCAGUGGAGGACCUGGGCAGGCGGGCUUUGAGGGACCUCAGUCCUGGAAAGCGAUGUCACCCUGUAAGAUCCGACUUCAGGCAGAAGUGGUCGUUUUCUCUCUUCUUUACGCCUCCUUAUUUUUUUGAUUAUUUCUUACAUCGCUUUAUUUUUCUAAUAUAAAAGCCAUUGCUGCAAA